rnacentral:tRNA from 1 species
GCCGGGGUAGUUGAGCCUGGUUAAAACGCCGCGCUCAUAACGCGGAGGUCGCGGGUUCAAAUCCCGCCCCCGGCA